rnacentral:rRNA from 1 species
UACGUAGGGGGCGAGCGUUGUCCGGAUUUAUUGGGCGUAAAGAGCGUGUAGGCGGUUCGGUAAGUCUGUCGUGAAAUCCUGAGGCUCAACCUCGGGCGUGCGAUGGAUACUGCCGGGCUAGAGGAUGGUAGAGGCGAGUGGAAUUCCCGGUGUAGCGGUGAAAUGCGCAGAUAUCAAGAGGAACACCUGCGGCGAAGGCGGGUUGCUGGGCCGACACUGACGCUGAGGCGCGAAAGCUAGGGGAGCGAACGGG